rnacentral:rRNA from 1 species
GACGAACGCUGGCGGCGUGCUUAACACAUGCCAGUCGAACGGAAAGGCCCUGCUUGCAGGGUACUCGAGUGGCGAACGGGUGAGUAACACGUGGGUGAUCUGCCCUGCACUUCGGGAUAAGCCUGGGAAACUGGGUCUAAUACCGGAUAUGACCUUCCAUGUAGUGUGGGGGGUGGAAAGAUUUAUCGGUGUGGGAUGAGCCCGCGGCCUAUCAGCUUGUUGGUGGGGUAAUGGCCUACCAAGGCGUCGACGGGUAGCCGGCCUGAGAGGGUGGACGGCCACAUUGGGACUGAGAUACGGCCCAGACUCCUACGGGAGGCAGCAGUGGGGAAUAUUGCACAAUGGGCGGAAGCCUGAUGCAGCGACGCCGCGUGGGGGAUGACGGCCUUCGGGUUGUAAACCUCUUUCGACAGGGACGAAGCUUCGGUGACGGUACCUGGAUAAGAAGCACCGGCUAACUACGUG